UCGGUAUCACGGCACGGCCGGCAACUCGAGCUUGAAACGCGUUGCGUUUGUUAGUAACGCGUGUGCGCUCCUACCGUUUGCGUUCUUCUUUUGUACUGGAUUUCUUUUUGCCGCGAUAGCGUCGCGUUUUUAAUCGUUCAGUCGAUACCUUUGGAAUCAGUGUAGUGCAAUAAAAAUAUGUUCAGAUAAUCGAGUUGCUCUGAUGACUUAAUCAAUAAGUGACUUAUCGUUUAGUGCCGAGAAAUCAGUGAAAAAGUUAGAAAAACUUGGUUGUGAAGUUUAUGUUUAAUGAGAGAAACUCGAGGAAUUGCUUGAAACGGUUUGACACUGGUAUUAUGUUUUAAUAAUCCUUUGCACUCAACUGUCCCUUCUAUGGGGACAUCGUAUAGCGCGCUAAUAAAGCGAGUGAAGCAAUUGCAAAGCCCCGAUGAGGACUCCGCGGGUGGGGACUACUACCAGCUGACAUACCCUAACUAGCGAGCACAACCUCUUGGCCCUUCUCUGUCGACUAGCGAACUACCACGCUAAUCGCAGCUAAGCAACUAAGUCGCCAUACCGUUGAGAACACGGACGUACUACUUAGGGACAAAGAUCAGGCAUACGGGAUCAGACGUACAGGAGAGCAGAGACGUGAACAAACAGAAACAGAAACAGAGACAGAGAUUGAGUAUGAGAGGGAGAGAAACAGAAAGAAACAGAGAGAAACAGAGA